AAUUUCAUGGUCAUAACAGCCUCUUGUCUACUGCCUCAGAACGGAUUUCACCAAAACUGAAAAUAAGGGCUCCAUGCUCAGAAGUUCCCUAACGGACUCGAAAGGUUAAUGUUCCUUUCCCUUGCCCUUCUAUAGCAUACGAAGACAGUCUUUCAGUGACAUUCUUCUCCUCAAGCAGGCCUAUUUUAUCAGUCCCCUGGUGUCCCACAGAUUUCUGAGGCAUUGGAAUCCUAGCAACGGAUUUUUCAUUUAAGUAGGAUCAUCUUGAUCACCAGCCUCCCACAGGUUGGUAAAAGUUUUGUGCUGCUUCCUAGCACUCACAGAGCAUCCCUAGAGCAUAUUUUGUUGAGCCUGCUCUCCCACC
rnacentral:lncRNA from 1 species